rnacentral:rRNA from 1 species
UACGAAGGGGGCUAGCGUUGCUCGGAAUCACUGGGCGUAAAGCGCACGUAGGCGGAUUGUUAAGUCAGGGGUGAAAUCCUGGAGCUCAACUCCAGAACUGCCUUUGAUACUGGCGAUCCUGAGUUCGGGAGAGGUGAGUGGAACUGCGAGUGUAGAGGUGAAAUUCGUAGAUAUCGGGAGGAACACCAGUGGCGAAGGCGGCGAUCUGGGAAGAUACUGACGCUGAGGUGCGAAAGCGUGGGGAGCAAACAGG